GACAUUCGUGUAAGAUGUCACUUGUUCCUCCUUGCUUUCCACCGUGAUUAAGAGGCUUCCCCAGCCAAGUGGAACUGGAGUUCCAGGAGAUGAGCAUGGCCCAAGCUGCUUCACAGACCGCCAGGGGCCCAAGGAGUUCCCAGGAUCUAAGCCCACAACCAAUUGAAUGAUAUCUAUUCACAUAGAGGAGUCCCAUCUGCUUUUUACUCAGUCCACCAAUCCAAAUGCUAAUCUCUUCUGGAAACACCCUCGAGACACACCCAGGAAUAAUGUGCAAUAAACUAUCUGGGCAUCCCAUAGACCAGUCAACUUGUCAGGAGCCACUUCAGAGGUGAUGACAGCCCAAGGUCUAAACACAGACGUGGAGACAAAUCAUUAACUGGUGUCAGAGAGGACCGGACGAGUUUUCCACAAUAUUCAAGUUUUGACCUAUAAUGCACUGGGGACUUAGUUAAUUACUCCUUUUCCCCUGUUCCACCACUGCCACCCAUUAUCCUAUCCUACACUUGAAAAAAUAGUCUUUUUUAAAAAUUUGGCUUUAGAACAUUCGUGGAUAUUUGUAAUUAAGAAAUACAGAUUCACAGUCUGAAAACUUUAUCAUCAUCCUCACUGACCAGCUCAGAUCCAGAAUCUGAAUCCUGACAUUGUCCCAGGAACUGACAAGUUUGGGAUUUGGCUGACAUGCACAUCUGCCAUACGCUUAUUUGCUGAGAGACCCUUCUUCUCAAUAGCAAAGAGGUUGCCCACACAUCCCACCUACACCACUUGAUCUGAUGCCCUGCCCAAUACUAACCUACACUUGGUAUAAUGAGGUGCAAAUCCAAGUGACUUCAGAGGGAGCAGCUAUUUGUCUAAAAUAAGGAUUCAUCCUAAUCUGUAAUUACCUGACAACCUGCUGGAUCCUUCACUUGAAUGCCCCAUGGGGCCAUCAACUCUA